UCCACUGAUUUAUGCCGGAAGUGCAGCGAUGCACCAAUCAGAGCGGGCUUAUCAGAGCGUGAGAACCAAUGAGAUCGCUCAUUUGUGUUGAGGCAACAAGGCGGGAAUUUAUAUUCCACUCGACAGCUCAAGAGUAAGCCACGGGAACAGUAUAGAAAGCCUAUUAUUAAAGUAUUCCAGCUGUUCACAUAUUCAAAUUGCCUCAGGUGUAGUCGAUGAACAAAGCGAUUACAAUUAAAUGGAAGCGUCCGCAGAACUUGACAUGAACGCUGACGUUACGCCUCCAGUUGAUGACUGCCGCUUCAAACGUACGCCACAACAAAGGGGCGUGUCUUCCAGAAGAAGACUCUCAGAUUCUGGAUGUAGAUCCACGAGGUUAAAUUCGGGUUUCAAAUCUCCAUGGAUGUGUUGAAGAGGAGUUGGAUAAGCACAUAGAUUUGCUGCAUGAAUACAAUGAUAUUAAAGACAUUGCACAAACUCUGCUGGGCAGAUUGGGUGAGAUACAUUAUUUAGACACUUAAGCCACACUUUAAAGGGGUCAUAUGGCGCGAAUGCGUGUUUUUCUGUGUCUUUGGUGUGUUAUAAGUUGCCCAUGCAUGUAUUAGACACGUUAAAUUGCAAAAAUUUAAGUGUCGGAACAAAGAAUUCAUUCUAUCUAAAAGCGAAUGCUCACCCAGACCUGCCUGAUAAAACCUUGUGUAACCACACCCAGUUCAUGAUAUGAUUUGACUAAGACCGCCCAAAUGUAUACGCAAGUAAGGUGGGCGUAGUCAGUACAAUUGCUUUGGAACCUGAUGUUACAAAUAUGGUAAGAUAUGGGAUGGUACAUUUCCGUCACACACUUGCAGUAUUCGACCAAUCACUACACACUGGUUAACUGGCCAAUUAUAGCACACCUCGCUUUUCAGAGUGAUGAACUUCGUAAAAAAUCAGCGCGUUUCAGAGAGGCGGGGCAAAGAGGAGAUACAAACAUGCACGGUAUAUGGAAAAUACAGCGUUUUUGAACCUUAAAUCGUAUACACAUUACAUUACAUCUAAAACAAACGAUAAUAUUCGUUUCAGCCGUGUCAUAUGACCCGUUUAAAAUAUAUGAAUGGCACUGCAUUUGAUUUUGAAGCAGAAUUCAUUUGAAAAAGUACAAUAGUUUAAAUAAUUGAUAAACAAAUGAGAAUAGAAGAUAUAUUUGGACCAUGUAUACAGUGAAAUACACCUGUGAUAAUUCUUAUAGGAUUGGAACUGACUUUAUAUACCUAAUAAACAACUUAUAAACUCACAUAUUUGUGGUUCUAAAAAAUCUAAAAAUACAAAUUUCACAUUUCACACUGUGUUAAUUGUUCAUCUCCAUAAAGUGGUCUCCAUAAAUGCUUAUGGCCUACACUCUUCUACCCUCCCACUCAUAUUGGUGAGUUACAGCUUCCAUGUGCUUGGCAUUUGUCUUUAGUGUAAAGAUUAUGAUAAUGACAUCCUCCGAUAUUCAGGCUGCAUUCUGCUAUAAUGGGCUCCUUUCAGGCUGUCUGCUGUGGCCUCAUGGUGACUUCAGCUGGUCUGAGGGCCAGAGGGGCCCGUAACACGUCAUCCACCCCCAUGUGACCACUGACACAACUGUCUCUUUCUUUCUCUUAGCCGGCCUGCGUGGAGUGACCACACGAGACUUGUACAAUGACUUCGACCUCGAAUUAGACGAUUGAGUUGCAUGUCAAGUUGGAAGCAUGCAUCUUUAAAUACUGUUAAGAGUACCAUUUAUGUCAUUGAUUGUAGGGAAUAUUCAGUGUUCCAUAAUGGUCUUUGUGUGCAAUAGUCAUAUUUAUAACAAAUAAACAAGUUGAUGUUCUCGAUGUUUCACUAUUGUUGUGUCUUUGCUUUAAAGUAAGCCGUUUCGGUGACGUGAACAUGCUCAGAAAUGUCGAACCAAUACCUGUUACACGAAUCUACAAGAAAUGGAAAAGCCCUGUGUCAACAUUGGGAAAAGAAAUGGCUUUUAUCUC